UACAGAGGAGCCAAGCGUUGUCCGGAUUGACUGGGCGUAAAGCGCACGCAGGCGGAUGCGCGCGUGGGGUGUGAAAUCUGGCCGCUUAACGGCCAGGCGCCAUCCCAUACGGCGCGUCUGGAGUGAUGCAGAGGUCGAUGGAAUUGCCGGUGUAGUGGUGAAAUGCGUAGAGAUCGGCAGGAACACCCAGGGGGAAACCAGUCGACUGGGCAUCUACUGACGCUGAGGCACGAAAGCGUGGGGAUCAAACAGG
rnacentral:rRNA from 1 species